rnacentral:rRNA from 1 species
UUAAGCGACUAAGCGUACACGGUGGAUGCCCUGGCAGUCAGAGGCGAUGAAGGACGUGCUAAUCUGCGAAAAGCGUCGGUAAGGUGAUAUGAACCGUUAUAACCGGCGAUGUCCGAAUGGGGAAACCCAGUGUGAUUCGUCACACUAUCGUUAACUGAAUACAUAGGUUAACGAGGCGAACCGGGGGAACUGAAACAUCUAAGUACCCCGAGGAAAAGAAAUCAACCGAGAUUCCCCCAGUAGCGGCGAGCGAACGGGGAGCAGCCCAGAGUCUGAAUCAGCUUGUGUGUUAGUGGAACGGUCUGGAAAGUCCGACGGUACAGGGUGAUAGUCCCGUACACCAAAAUGCACAGGUUGUGAACUCGAAGAGUAGGGCGGGACACGUGGUAUCCUGUCUGAAUAUGGGGGGACCAUCCUCCAAGGCUAAAUACUCCUGACUGACCGAUAGUGAACCAGUACCGUGAGGGAAAGGCGAAAAGAACCCCGGCGAGGGGAGUGAAAAAGAACCUGAAACCGUGUACGUACAAGCAGUGGGAGCACCUUUAUGGUGUGACUGCGUACCUUUUGUAUAAUGGGUCAGCGACUUAUAUUCUGUAGCAAGGUUAACCGUAUAGGGGAGCCGCAGGGAAACCGAGUCUUAACUGGGCGUUAAGUUGCAGGGUAUAGACCCGAAACCCGGUGAUCUAGCCAUGGGCAGGUUGAAGGUUGGGUAACACUAACUGGAGGACCGAACCGACUAAUGUUGAAAAAUUAGCGGAUGACUUGUGGCUGGGGGUGAAAGGCCAAUCAAACCGGGAGAUAGCUGGUUCUCCCCGAAAGCUAUUUAGGUAGCGCCUCGUGAACUCAUCUUCGGGGGUAGAGCACUGUUUCGGCUAGGGGGUCAUCCCGACUUACCAACCCGAUGCAAACUACGAAUACCGAAGAAUGUUAUCACGGGAGACACACGGCGGGUGCUAACGUCCGUCGUGAAGAGGGAAACAACCCAGACCGCCAGCUAAGGUCCCAAAGUCAUGGUUAAGUGGGAAACGAUGUGGGAAGGCACAGACAGCCAGGAUGUUGGCUUAGAAGCAGCCAUCAUUUAAAGAAAGCGUAAUAGCUCACUGGUCGAGUCGGCCUGCGCGGAAGAUGUAACGGGGCUAAACCAUGCACCGAAGCUGCGGCAGCGACACUAUGUGUUGUUGGGUAGGGGAGCGUUCUGUAAGCCUGCGAAGGUGACCUGUGAGGGUUGCUGGAGGUAUCAGAAGUGCGAAUGCUGACAUAAGUAACGAUAAAGCGGGUGAAAAGCCCGCUCGCCGGAAGACCAAGGGUUCCUGUCCAACGUUAAUCGGGGCAGGGUGAGUCGACCCCUAAGGCGAGGCCGAAAGGCGUAGUCGAUGGGAAACAGGUUAAUAUUCCUGUACUUGGUGUUACUGCGAAGGGGGGACGGAGAAGGCUAUGUUAGCCGGGCGACGGUUGUCCCGGUUUAAGCAUGUAGGCUGGUUAUCCAGGCAAAUCCGGAUAAUCAAGGCUGAGGUGUGAUGACGAGGCACUACGGUGCUGAAGUAACAAAUGCCCUGCUUCCAGGAAAAGCCUCUAAGCAUCAGGUAACAUCAAAUCGUACCCCAAACCGACACAGGUGGUCAGGUAGAGAAUACCAAGGCGCUUGAGAGAACUCGGGUGAAGGAACUAGGCAAAAUGGUGCCGUAACUUCGGGAGAAGGCACGCUGGUGUGUAGGUGAAGUCCCUGCGGAUGGAGCUGAGACCAGUCGAAGAUACCAGCUGGCUGCAACUGUUUAUUAAAAACACAGCACUGUGCAAACACGAAAGUGGACGUAUACGGUGUGACGCCUGCCCGGUGCCGGAAGGUUAAUUGAUGGGGUUAUCCGUAAGGAGAAGCUCUUGAUCGAAGCCCCGGUAAACGGCGGCCGUAACUAUAACGGUCCUAAGGUAGCGAAAUUCCUUGUCGGGUAAGUUCCGACCUGCACGAAUGGCGUAAUGAUGGCCAGGCUGUCUCCACCCGAGACUCAGUGAAAUUGAACUCGCUGUGAAGAUGCAGUGUACCCGCGGCAAGACGGAAAGACCCCGUGAACCUUUACUAUAGCUUGACACUGAACAUUGAGCCUUGAUGUGUAGGAUAGGUGGGAGGCUUUGAAGCGUGGACGCCAGUCUGCGUGGAGCCAACCUUGAAAUACCACCCUUUAAUGUUUGAUGUUCUAACGUGGGCCCCUGACCGGGGUUGCGGACAGUGUCUGGUGGGUAGUUUGACUGGGGCGGUCUCCUCCCAAAGCGUAACGGAGGAGCACGAAGGUUAGCUAAUCCUGGUCGGACAUCAGGAGGUUAGUGCAAUGGCAUAAGCUAGCUUGACUGCGAGCGUGACGGCGCGAGCAGGUGCGAAAGCAGGUCAUAGUGAUCCGGUGGUUCUGAAUGGAAGGGCCAUCGCUCAACGGAUAAAAGGUACUCCGGGGAUAACAGGCUGAUACCGCCCAAGAGUUCAUAUCGACGGCGGUGUUUGGCACCUCGAUGUCGGCUCAUCACAUCCUGGGGCUGAAGUAGGUCCCAAGGGUAUGGCUGUUCGCCAUUUAAAGUGGUACGCGAGCUGGGUUUAGAACGUCGUGAGACAGUUCGGUCCCUAUCUGCCGUGGGCGCUGGAGAAUUGAGGGGGGCUGCUCCUAGUACGAGAGGACCGGAGUGGACGCAUCACUGGUGUUCGGGUUGUCAUGCCAAUGGCACUGCCCGGUAGCUAAAUGCGGAAGAGAUAAGUGCUGAAAGCAUCUAAGCACGAAACUUGCCCCGAGAUGAGUUCUCCCUGAGACUUUAAGUCUCCUGAAGGAACGUUGAAGACGACGACGUUGAUAGGCCGGGUGUGUAAGCGCAGCGAUGCGUUGAGCUAACCGGUACUAAUGAACCGUGAGGCUUAACCUU